CGCGCAGAACUAGGAGAGAGCGUGACACGGAGAGAAGGGGGCGAAGAGAGAGAUAUAGAAGAAAGAAAGAGGGGGCGAUGAGGUAAAGGGCGGACUAGCAAAGUGGCCGUAAGUCCACCGGGAGGAAGAAACAGGCACGUAAUGAUCGGGUAUCAGAAAAAGACGUCAGCAUCCUAGUCCCUCAAGGAACAUAUUAACUAUUCUGUGCUGUCCUCUUGGAUGAUAAGAUCCGGAGUCAUCGACUUCUCAUAAACACCUUUCACUCAUACAAUUCAAUUUUUAAGAAGUCCAGUUAUUUUGAUGGUUUUCGAUUUCACUCAUUUCUCAAGGACUGGUAAAGAAUUUACAGAAUUUUGAAGAUGGUAGAAGUUAUUUUUUUAACUAUGUAAUGACAAUUUCUCUUUACUUUUUCAUCAAGCCCCAGCAAUCAGAGCUCUGGCCUCUGGAAUUAAGCAUCAUCAAGCGCUCCUAUUAAUAAAUUUAAUUUAGAUCUCCCUAUUUCUUGCGUAUGUUCUUUCAGAUAGACCAUUAAAUGUAGAAGUCGUUUGUUUUUAAAGGGAAGUCUUGGAGGAUUUUUCAGUAAAUCUCUCCCGAGUCUGGCUGCCGUUGACAGUCCAGCUAUGAGUAGAUUGAUGAGAGCUCAAGCUGCCUCCGGAGCGCGGCCUGCGGAGCUGUCCAGACUCCGGGUGCUGAAGAGUUCCGUCACAGAUGCUACAAACGUUGAAAAUUACCACUGGUUUAAUUUUUCACCAGAGCCUCUAAAUUUGAAGAUUUGGCAGUAGUACUAUUAACGAGGCAAUUCAUUGCCUAAAUCACCCCACCAUUCAGAUACAUCCUUUCUCCCUUUGUAGUGUCCAUAAAUGCCCUAAUACUGAGAAUGCUCUCCAUCCCUGUCUGGAUUUGAGGAAAAAGCAUUCUGUUCCCCAUUAGUGCUGGCUUUUGGAUCUCUAGACUGACUGACUGGCUACCUUCACCCCUUCUGUGGCUCUUACAGAUCCUAAAAAUUGAUGUUGUAAAAUUGUGCUUUCCACAAAAAAUGAAAUUUUAAGAAUUUGGGGGUGAGAAAUAUCUUUUUCCACUUUGUUUACAACUUGAGCUCUGUUUGGGAACCACAGACAGACUGGGAAAGCAUGAAGGUUCCCAGUACAAGUUCACUUGCUGAAGGUUUCUAACAGGAAUCCCUGCACUGGAAACGAUUAGACUUGUUUUGACUGAAAAUGAUGUGGGAAGAGGAAAGCAAUAAGGGAAGACCAUAUCCACUCAGAGGCUUCCAAGUUCCUGGGUAAUUUAAGAAGAUUCAUAUAUUUCUACUCCAGUAAGAGAACUCAAGUCUGUUUCUUUUUUUUUAAAAGGAAAUAGAGCCAUCAAUAACCAUUAGUGUGCAUUUUAAUUAUUUGGAUCUUACACAAAAAUUAGGGAAAAUUCUAGUUUAAUGGGAGAGUUUCCUGUUACUAUGAUUUGGAUCUAACAUUUAAAUAAGCUAUAUUAGUUCUGCAUGCUUUUCCAAGAUAUAAUGUUUCUCAUUCUAAAUGCUGUUCCUGCUCUUAUUUGAGAUUUAAUACUUCCUCAUUCUUAAGAACACUAAGUUUUGUUUAUUCCUGGCCAUGAAUGACCGAAAACUGUCUGCUUCCUCUUAGUUUUUUCCUGGCUGUGCUUCGGAUUGCCUGCCUUUAAUAAAGCUUCAAACUACA